rnacentral:lncRNA from 1 species
GCUGGGACUACAGCUGUGCGCCGCCACACUCAGAUAGCAGUGCUGUUUUUCAUAUCUCGACCUCUUGUACUUUUAAUUACAUGAGGUAAACUGGCAAAUUGUUAGUAUUACUUGUUUAAAUCAUUGCAAAAAAAAAAGACCUAAGAGGUCAUCAAUGAUGUAGGUCACAUCCUUUUUUUUUUUGUACCGGGGAUUGAACUCGGAUCCUUGUGCUUGCAAGGCAGGCCACCAAACCACUGAGCUAAAUCCCCAGCCCCUAAGUCACAUCUUUAUACUUCACAGAAAUAAAAAAGGAAUCUUAAUGAUUCCUAAUAUAACACAAAAGAGCCAAUUCCCACAUGUGUACACAUACAUCCUAAGCAUAUAUUUAUUCUCUUAGCAACUCUAUGAAACAGAUUCUGUUAUGAUCCCUCUUUUACAGAUGAGACCAUCCACAAAGAAACCAGGCAGAGAUAAGAAAAGGAGUACGGAGAGACCAACCGUGAAUCUCGGCAUUUCACAAUUCGAACAUUUCCUGUUGUGCAUUUACUAUACUAAUGUCAGAACUACAAAAC